rnacentral:lncRNA from 1 species
CAAACAUUUAACUGCAGUACAUGACGCUCCUUUUUUCAUUCUGCCAUGGUAAUGAGAAUGUUCCAGACCAUGGAGUCUCUGUGAUCCUGGGUCCAGAAGGACUGUAGAACAGAGCCCCCCACUCCAUUACAACCCACACUGGACAUGAAUUUUAGCCAUUCUCCACUAAGUCCUCCAUGGCCACCACGCAGCCACACCUUCAGACACCAAGACAAGUCCUCCUUCUCCGUGUCCCACAGUGCCUUGUCUCCUGAGAUGACAAGCUCCUUGGCACCAGAGAUGGUAUCUUUCUCAUCUUUGCCUCCUCGGAGAUACAGUACACUAUACACUGUACAGUGCAUAGUACACAGGAGAAGAGGCACAAGAAUGUGGAAUAUGUGACCCAUGUACAUGAAGAUAUUCCUGGUUCACUCAAAAGUACGAUUUUGAGAAGCC